rnacentral:rRNA from 1 species
UACGUAGGUGGCAAGCGUUGUCCGGAUUUAUUGGGUUUAAAGGGUGCGUAGGUGGUCUAUUAAGUCAGUGCUGAAAUAUCCCGGCUUAACCGGGAGGGUGGCAUUGAUACUGAUGGACUUGAAUGGAGUCGAGGUAGGCGGAAUUGACGGUGUAGCGGUGAAAUGCUUAGAUAUCGUCAAGAACACCUAUUGCGUAGGCAGCUUACUAGGCUCUAAUUGACACUGAGGCACGAAAGUGUGGGGAUCAAACAGG